rnacentral:lncRNA from 1 species
UUGUAAAUAACGGCGGCGCCGAAGCUUCUAGCAGGGUUAAUACCAGUUCCGGUGAUGGGAAUAGUAGCCAAAUGAACCAUGAACACUGCAAAUCCUAUAGGCAGUGGAGCCAACACGGGUACAUGUGAAUCACGGGCACUUCUUUUAGGGUCAGUAGCUGAAAAAACAGUGUAAACAAGCACGAAUGUCCCAAUAAUCUCAGCUCCCAAAGCAGUCCCUUUGUUAUAACCAGUCGCCACCGUGUUAGCACCGCCGCCAAGGGAGUUGUAUUCACUCUUCAUGAAUGCCUUAACUAACCCAACACCACAAAUAGCACCCAAACAUUGAGCUACCAUGUAAGCCACCGCCCUUAUAAGCGACACCUUCCUAGCCAAAAACAACCCAAAUGUCACCGCCGGGUUAAUGUGACCACC